rnacentral:lncRNA from 1 species
ACAUUCAUUUAAUUACACAGGACGUGUGCUGUUAAAGACGUACGGCUCCCCGCAGAGACGAGACGAGUCACUGAUCCUGGACCAGCGUGAAGAAGACACACAGCGGAUAAUUUAAUGAGACAAAUCAGGUUAAAUUCAAUCAGAGCUGAUGCUGCUGCAGAGUCCAACACGUCCACCCUAGGAAACAGGAACACUGCUACUGCUGCAGGUGCCUCUGGUUCAGAAACUGGUUUCAGCUUCACUAUAAGUCCUACAUUAUCAGUCUGUGUCACAUGUUCAGUUCAGGCCUGAGGUAAUCACACUCAUGUCCUAAUUUCACACUGGUUUGGAAAAGAUUUGGAGCACAUGCAUGCAGCAUUGUCACACAAAUUUCAGAUGUACCAGUUUGCAUGUUAAAGGGACCUUAAGUGUCUGUAAAGGAGUGCACCAAUACACCAGUUCUUACAAAUUUUUGGAGCACUGCAAUUUUUUUUAAUCCUAUCUAAAAAUAUAGAUUUAUGCUUUUAAAGGUACAUUUCCCCCCCGUGAUUGAUAUCAGUCCAUGCUGACCCCUGUCCACUGCUGAAAGCUUCUAGAAUGGACACCUGAGCAUCACAACUGGACCACAGAGUGACGGAAGAAGUCAGCCUGGAGGAACACGAUAAUCAAACCUCUUAACCCUGCAAACCAGGCCUCACCUCACAACUUCCAGGACCUGAAGGAUUUGCUGCCUUGAUCCAGUGGAGUCCAUGUUUCAUUAGGACCGGCCCUGCUGGAAAUCAAGGACUGGAAAAAUGAGUCGUUCUCGCAGCCCCUCUCAAACUAAACAUGCUUUAAAAAAAAAACUUGAAGCUCUCCUUAUCAGCAGCUGAAGGUUCACACUGAAGCUAACAUGCCGCUGGUGUUCCUCAGACUUUCUGAUGUUUGUUUGUACUGCUGACCUCAGCAUGUCGGCCAUUUUUCAUGUCAGACUCUUAAGUUCUCCAGAACCGCACAGAUGUAAAAACACCGCUGACAUUUAUUUUAAUGACAGGCGAAAGCUUCAGAGGGUGGGAAAAUGCUCCAUACACACAAACUAUGGAGGGCACUGGUUGGUGGUUAAUGGGACUCAGCGUACACCAGUGAACCGUUCAUUGCAAACAAACUGGUGUAUCCAAUAGUAACCAGAGAGGAGGGUCAUGUGUGGUGACAGUUCUCACGGCGUGUCCCGUCUCAAAUGAACACAGUACCACCAAGACAAGAAACCGUAACUAAAAUAAUAGACAUUAACCGCGACAUGCAUGGAGCCUAGAGAUAUUAAACUUUAGGAGAGAGUCCAAAAGCUGGCUUCACUAACAGCCAAUCACAGAGCCUCUGGAGUAAGAAUUUGUAAAGCCAACUCUAAAGCACCUGUACCUUGUACAACGAAGCAGUUGGAGUUAGUGAUGGAAAGAACAGUUCUUUUGACUGUAUGGAAUCUUUAGAAUCUAUUGAUUAAAAUGAUUAGUUCAAAAGAUUCGUUCACUGAAUCAGUCAUUGUUUCAUAGCCCCAUCCUUUUGAGUGCAGUACACAAGUGAGUGACACAGCGGCACUGAUUGGGCAUUCGUUCAUUGAACUGCUGAAGUCACAGCUUCGUUUACUGCGCAACACAUGCCGUUUAUUCACAGUGAGCAGAUCCCGAGACUCCGUCCCCCCUCUCUCUGGCUGGCUGGGCAUUGUUCGCUAAAGAGUCAAAAGCGGCAGUUCCACUCCCGACCGGCACGCCACGCUCGCAGGUCUUGGGGUGAUUCCAUUCACGUCGUUCACUCAGCAAUUUCGAUCUUUUGUACUAAUUGUUCAUGACCGACACAACAUGACACACAACCGGAUUUGCCCGCUUUAGCUUGUUUCAUUGCUGCUCUGCUUCAUCUUGUGUGUCAGGGUUAAUUUCAGAAACUGUUCCCCUCAUCAGUCAAGCACAAACAGGGC